ACAGAGUAACAGUGGGCAGGGUUUGUGUAGCACUGUAUCAUCUCAGUUUGGGCGAUCAUUGACCACGGCAGAUGGUCGUUGUGAGAAUCAUUUUGUUUUUUCUUCUUUUCUCUUGCCUGUGGCCUGUGGGGAAUAAGCACUUUGAAUUAAUCAACUACCUUUAUCGUUCAUCAUAAAUUGGUUCAAAAUCAGUUUGGAUUAAAAAAAAAUACAUAUAGAAUGUGAAACUAUUGAUAUAAGUUCACGUAUUAAGCAUGUGUACAAUUUAAGCAAUUAUUGGCCAAAUAUACAAAGUAUGACCUUUUGAAACCUAAUAUAAUAUGGCCUACAUUUUGAAGUGGAAGGGGUAACUUGGCUAUCCCAGUGUCAUGUAUUAAAUGAUAUGAACUAAUUUAGGUAUAUGUAUAUAUAAAACGAUAUGCACUAAUUUUGAUAUUCUAGCAUCAUGUAUGUGUGUAUAAAAUAUAGACUCCAUUCUAAAUCAUAGGUUGUU
rnacentral:lncRNA from 1 species